rnacentral:rRNA from 1 species
AACGAACGCUAGCGGCGUGCCUAACACAUGCAAGUCGAACGAGAAAGGGGGCAACCCUGAGUAAAGUGGCGCACGGGUGAGUAACACGUGGGUAACGUACCCUCGGGUGGGGAAUAACGAGCCGAAAGGUUCGCUAAUACCGCAUAAGACCACGACCUCUUCGGAGGAUGAGGUCAAAGGGGGCUGUCGCAAGGCAGCUCUCGCCUGAGGAUCGGCUCGCGGACCAUUAGCUAGAUGGCGGGGUAAUGGCCCACCAUGGCUACGAUGGUUAGCUGGUCUGAGAGGACGACCAGCCACACUGGAACUGACACACGGUCCAGACUCCUACGGGUGGCUG